GGAAAUUAUGCUGCAGCCUUGUUGUUUGGGGAUUUUUUUCUGCAUAGUCUUCUAAUGCAGGUUUUUUCCCCAUGGUGACCUAGGCUUGGGAAGUUGGCUACAUCUGAGGCUGCUUAUGCAACUGAAGUCAGCUGAUGAAGGAGAUGGAAGAGAUGAACAGAAAGGAUGACAGAAAGAUCUCUCAGAACUGACAC